CGUUCACUUCCCUCACUUUUCUCAGUAACAAACAAGUUGUACACCGAAUAACACUACAAAAUAAAUACUAGUCUCCUCUAAAUUAUUAAAUUAUUAUUUGUAUUUCCUUAGUCAGUGAUUGUAUGUAAUUCAUUUUUGGCCAUGAAGAAACAUGAAGAGUUGGGUGGGCUGGGCUCUCCCGAUCCGAGAUCCUCUUGGCCUGUUGGCCGUGGUAGCCAAAGGCUACCUACAAAGGAAAAGCCCAAACCCAUGCAAAAGCCCACUCCCAAGCGUGCACAACGGAAGGUCAAGGCGAGGACGAUAAUUAAGAUUUCUGCCUACCAACCGUUCAACUGUUCAACCGUUCAAAAUUAUCUGUAAGUUCAACAGAAUUGAGUGACAAAACUUCGAUUUGCUUUUAUUUAGUUUGACAUUUCCCAUUCCCUCGCAGGUUACACAACACUAGACGCACACUUCCACACAUUUUACCUUUCUUUCUUACCAAGCCUUGAUGGUACCUCCCCACAUCCUCCACUUCCAUGAUGUGAGGAUGUGGGUGAUGUGGAUGGCAUCACAAACACAUUGUUGAAGCUUUUUCCGCAUAAAAGGUGGGUGGAUUCCGCAAAUUCCUUAACUCUAAGCUCAACCAUUUAUCCUUCAUUCCAUUUAGAUAUACCUAUCCAUCCUUUCAAUCUAUUUUCAACGCAUAAUGAGGACACUCUACUACACAUUUGAUCUAUUUUCAACGCAUAAUGAGGGCCGUAACUACUCUUCGGACACUCUACUACACAUUUGAUCUAUUUUCAACGCAUAAUGAGGGCUAUAACUACUCUUUGGACACUCUACUACACACGUGGAAACAUGAAUUUCAACGCCAAUGAGUAUUGGUAAGUGUACGAAUAACCAUAACACGAGUUUGAGAGAUGGAUUUUUGACUUUUUUAACUCUUAAGGAAAAUAUUUGAUGGAUCCGCAGAGGGGAUCGCAGAAACUAGCAAUUCGUAAGAGUCAGAUAUCAUUUGAUUCUUGUUCCAUACCACUUAUUAUUAUUAAUUAUGUUCUGUGUUCCUACAGGCAGUGCUGGAUACGGUCCUAGGGACUUAUGAUCGCAGUUCUGUUAUGUUAUUGAAUUAUCGUUAUAAAACUAAAUAUAUAACUUGCAAGUAACCC
rnacentral:lncRNA from 1 species